rnacentral:rRNA from 1 species
UAACGCGUGGGUAACCUGCCCUGUACAGGGGGAUAACAGCUGGAAACGGCUGCUAAUACCGCAUAAGCGCACGAGGAGACAUCUCCUUGUGUGAAAAACUCCGGUGGUAUAAGAUGGACCCGCGUUGGAUUAGCUAGUUGGUGGGGUAACGGCCCACCAAGGCGACGAUCCAUAGCCGGCCUGAGAGGGUGAACGGCCACAUUGGGACUGAGACACGGCCCAGACUCCUACGGGAGGCAGCAUG